rnacentral:rRNA from 1 species
UACGGGAGUGGCAAGCGUUAUCCGGAAUUAUUGGGCGUAAAGCGUCCGCAGGCGGCUUUGUAAGUCUGCUGUCAAAGCGUGGAGCUUAACUCCAUUUCGGCAGUGGAAACUACGAGGCUUGAGUGUGGUAGGGGCAGAGGGAAUUCCCGGUGUAGCGGUGAAAUGCGUAGAUAUCGGGAAGAACACCAGUGGCGAAGGCGCUCUGCUGGGCCAUAACUGACGCUCAUGGACGAAAGCCAGGGGAGCGAAAGGG